rnacentral:lncRNA from 1 species
AAAGGAAAGACCUUAAUAAUAGGGAAAAAACUGGAGUUGUCGUUCUUAUCCGUUGAUAGGAUAGAUAGCAUUCAUUUGUAAGGAGAGGGUAAAAAAAAAAGGGGGGGGGCAAAAGGGGGGCCCAGGGAGAUUUUUUUUUUUUUUUUAUUUAAACGGAACAGAAUGGUUAAAAUUGCCGUUUUACAAUAUAAAUCAAUUGCUUUCAAAAAGCAAUUGUAAACGGUCUUUCCCCUCUUUGAAACAUGAUUGUGUGUGUGUGUGUGUGUU